GAUGAACGCUAGCGGCAGGCCUAAUACAUGCAAGACGAACGGUAAGUUGAGUAGCAAUACUUAGCCAAGAGUGUCGUACGGGUGCGUAACACGUAUGCAACCUACCCUAUACAGGAGGAUAGCCUAGGGAAACCUGGAUUAACCCUUCAUAGUAUUAUUGGAUGGCAUCAUUUGAUAAUUAAAACUGAGGUGGUAUAGGAUGGGCAUGCGUCUGAUUAGUUAGUUGGCGGGGUAAUGGCCCACCAAGACGAUGAUCAGUAGGGGUUCUGAGAGGAAGAUCCCCCACACUGGCACUGAGAUACGGGCCAGACUCCUACGGGAGGCAGCAGUAGGAAUAUUGGUCAAUGGAUGCAAGUCUGAACCAGCCAUGCCGCGUGCAGGAAGAAGGCCUUCUGGGUUGUAAACUGCUUUUGCCAGGGAAGAUGAUGACUGUACCUGGAGAAUAAGCCCGGCUAACUUCGUGCCAGGCAGCCGCGGUAAU
rnacentral:rRNA from 1 species